AGUUAUUCCAGCUUGUGUUUUUCUAGCCUCCUUGUAAUAUUCAGGUGAUACAGUCCCAGGUUAAGCACAGCUGGCCAAUUGAUAUACUUCAAAGGAAUCGGCACAAGACAUUUGGACUGGCACUGACUAAAUAAAUUGAAGAAGACAUUAACAAUACUUAUGGAAUCAAGGAUAUGCCUGUCAGAGGUUUCUGCUUGUCCAGACCUGCACACUUCCCAUCUCAUCCAGAUGCUCUUAAUUAGUUGCUAAGCCUGAGAUGACUUCAGAAUAAUUAGUUCUUGCUUCCAUGAGAUCUAUGAAAGUGUCUGAAACUUCAGAAAGAAAAGUUACUUUAAUUGAAAGAUCCUAACCCUAGGGGCAGCUCUAAAUCUAUGAUACUAUGUGUUUCAUUUUUGACUGUAUUCUAAUG
rnacentral:lncRNA from 1 species